UUCUGCUUCGAGCACCUCCGGCUGCUGAAUGGGCGGAGGCUGCAGCCUUCAAGUAGGAAAAAAAGAAUAAAAAGGAGGCAGGGGGAGAGGCGGGGAGGUUGCCGGACAGCGGGCGGGGCUGGAGAGGAAGGGGAGGCAGCGAGGAUGCGGAGCUGCGGCUGAGCCCCUCCUGCCCAAGAAGGAGAGCAUCAGCUCGGCUGGACGGAGGGAAGUGGGGAGAUGCAGCCGGUUUCGCUCGGCACCUGCUGAGUUCUCAUCCAGCAAAGUUUCCCGAGCUCUGGGAGGAAGGGAGGGAAGGCGGUCAUGGGAGAACCUGCUGUCCUCAUCCCGACCCCGCCGGGACCCGCUGUGGCUUGGGCGCUGCUGUCUGAAGGCUGAAGGGGACCCUCGGGCUAUUUCCAGUAGCAAUGCUUGCCACCAAUGCAUUUCAAGCUGAGAUGUUGUUUGGAGUAGAACCCCAGAUUCUAACUGAUAAGGAAGAACUUGUUUCACACAGCCCCCAAAAGAACUUUUCCUAAAGGAAAAGAAGUUCAUCAUUCUGGACAGGAUAACGGAAAGAAAGCUGGUUAUUUUGGAACUGGUUGAUUUGGCUGAAGUGGAAGAAGGAAGGUAAAAGCUGCCAAAUUUCCUCUGGAAAGAUAACAGUGAGGGCAAAUCCCCGUCAGUGGGUUCCUGUGACUGUAGAGGGGAUGGGGGGGAGAGGGGAGACACCCCUCUGCCAGGCAGAGGAACUGAGCUGCCAAGGGCUGUGCUGGUUGCUAUCAUUGCAGCCUUGAUAGCAGCCAGAAACCAGCACGAUCCCUUUGGAGUAACUACAGGUGACAGCUGCUGUGUGAUGGGUGUUUUUUACCCAUCCUGUUAGAGCCCAGAUAGCUCACCUGGGAGCAGGGAUAUUCUCACAGGAGCCAGGAGAAAGCAAGCCCUGUGGAUUGAGCCUGUGAUAUGAUUUGAAGUUCGUGGAUGCUUAACCAGAAGCUGCCUUGCUGGCGAAAGGGGCAAAAAUGGUGCUCUAUCUCACAGCCGUGUGCUGAGGUUCCCAAGCAGAAUAAAAGGAUGCUGCUGGAGAAGCACAGAUGUUGUUAGCCUGUCUGAUGAAGAAAAUGCCUUUCCACUCUCACACAUCUUCACUUCUGAAACGUUUUCACCUGUAGACUCUUCCCCAGAUGAGGAGGAGCUGCAUCCUUCAGCGUGCCCGUCCCUGUCAGCUCCAGGUGAUGUCUCACUGAGCAGAAACUUCACUGAAAGUUCACUGCUGCACUUCUAUUCAGCUCUAAACGAAAGCCUGAGCAGAGGCAGUGAGACACGGCACUGGAGACAACAGCAGAGAGCUCUGCCUCAGUUGGAGGUAUGGGAAAAUGUGAUACCCUGGGAAACAUGCUGGAAAUGGCUGGCUGAUCCCACUGGCAUCUUGGUGGGAUCCUGCAUCCAGGUGAUGGUGGUGCUCCUGCAGGAAAAUUGCAUCAAUUUGGCUUUACACUCACUGAAGCAGACAGACUACUUGAUCCCUUCUAUAUCAUCUCCUAUGAUCACACCCAAUGCAGUGUGAUGCAAGUGAUUUCAAGGGAGCAGAAGACCAGAAAUAGCCUUCUCAGCAUUGUACGUACCCUUUAAGGACUGAAGUGACCUCCAAGACUCACCUCAACAU